rnacentral:rRNA from 1 species
AUUGAGCCUUGAUGUGUAGGAUAGGUGGGAGGCUUUGAAGUGUGGACGCCAGUCUGCAUGGAGCCGACCUUGAAAUACCACCCUUUAAUGUUUGAUGUUCUAACGUUGGCCCGUAAUCCGGGUUGCGGACAGUGUCUGGUGGGUAGUUUGACUGGGGCGGUCUCCUCCUAAAGAGUAACGGAGGAGCACGAAGGUUGGCUAAUCCUGGUCGGACAUCAGGAGGUUAGUGCAAUGGCAUAAGCCAGCUUGACUGCGAGCGUGACGGCGCGAGCAGGUGCGAAAGCAGGUCAUAGUGAUCCGGUGGUUCUGAAUGGAAGGGCCAUCGCUCAACGGAUAAAAGGUACUCCGGGGAUAACAGGCUGAUACCGCCCAAGAGUUCAUAUCGACGGCGGUGUUUGGCACCUCGAUGUCGGCUCAUCACAUCCUGGGGCUGAAGUAGGUCCCAAGGGUAUGGCUGUUCGCCAUUUAAAGUGGUACGCGAGCUGGGUUUAGAACGUCGUGAGACAGUUCGGUCCCUAUCUGCCGUGGGCGCUGGAGAACUGAGGGGGGCUGCUCCUAGUACGAGAGGACCGGAGUGGACGCAUCACUGGUGUUCGGGUUGUCAUGCCAAUGGCACUGCCCGGUAGCUAAAUGCGGAAGAGAUAAGUGCUGAAAGCAUCUAAGCACGAAACUUGCCCCGAGAUG